rnacentral:rRNA from 1 species
GACGAACGCUGGCGGCGUGCCUAAUACAUGCAAGUUGAGCGCUGAAGGUUGGUACUUGUACCAACUGGAUGAGCAGCGAACGGGUGAGUAACGCGUGGGGAAUCUGCCUUUGAGCGGGGGACAACAUUUGGAAACGAAUGCUAAUACCGCAUAAAAACUUUAAACACAAGUUUUAAGUUUGAAAGAUGCAAUUGCAUCACUCAAAGAUGAUCCCGCGUUGUAUUAGCUAGUUGGUGAGGUAAAGGCUCACCAAGGCGAUGAUACAUAGCCGACCUGAGAGGGUGAUCGGCCACAUUUGGACUGAGACACGGCCCAAACUCCUACGGGAGGCAGCAGUAGGGGAUCUUCGGCCAUGGACGAAAGUCUGACCGAGCAACGCCGCGUGAGUGAAGAAGGUUUUCGGAUCGUAAAACUCUGUUGGUAGAGAAGAACGUUGGUGAGAGUGGAAAGCUCAUCAAGUGACGGUAACUACCCAGAAAGGGACGGCUAACUACGUC